rnacentral:rRNA from 1 species
UUAAGCGACUAAGCGUACACGGUGGAUGCCCUGGCAGUCAGAGGCGAUGAAGGACGUGCUAAUCUGCGAUAAGCGUCGGUAAGGUGAUAUGAACCGUUAUAACCGGCGAUUUCCGAAUGGGGAAACCCAGUGUGAUUCGUCACACUAUCAUUAACUGAAUCCAUAGGUUAAUGAGGCGAACCGGGGGAACUGAAACAUCUAAGUACCCCGAGGAAAAGAAAUCAACCGAGAUUCCCCCAGUAGCGGCGAGCGAACGGGGAGCAGCCCAGAGCCUGAAUCAGUGUGUGUGUUAGUGGAAGCGUCUGGAAAGGCGCGCGAUACAGGGUGACAGCCCCGUACACAAAAAUGCACAUACUGUGAGCUCGAUGAGUAGGGCGGGACACGUGGUAUCCUGUCUGAAUAUGGGGGGACCAUCCUCCAAGGCUAAAUACUCCUGACUGACCGAUAGUGAACCAGUACCGUGAGGGAAAGGCGAAAAGAACCCCGGCGAGGGGAGUGAAAAAGAACCUGAAACCGUGUACGUACAAGCAGUGGGAGCACAGAGCAAUCUGUGUGACUGCGUACCUUUUGUAUAAUGGGUCAGCGACUUAUAUUCUGUAGCAAGGUUAACCGAAUAGGGGAGCCGAAGGGAAACCGAGUCUUAACUGGGCGUUAAGUUGCAGGGUAUAGACCCGAAACCCGGUGAUCUAGCCAUGGGCAGGUUGAAGGUUGGGUAACACUAACUGGAGGACCGAACCGACUAAUGUUGAAAAAUUAGCGGAUGACUUGUGGCUGGGGGUGAAAGGCCAAUCAAACCGGGAGAUAGCUGGUUCUCCCCGAAAGCUAUUUAGGUAGCGCCUCGUGAAUUCAUCUCCGGGGGUAGAGCACUGUUUCGGCAAGGGGGUCAUCCCGACUUACCAACCCGAUGCAAACUGCGAAUACCGGAGAAUGUUAUCACGGGAGACACACGGCGGGUGCUAACGUCCGUCGUGAAGAGGGAAACAACCCAGACCGCCAGCUAAGGUCCCAAAGUCAUGGUUAAGUGGGAAACGAUGUGGGAAGGCCCAGACAGCCAGGAUGUUGGCUUAGAAGCAGCCAUCAUUUAAAGAAAGCGUAAUAGCUCACUGGUCGAGUCGGCCUGCGCGGAAGAUGUAACGGGGCUAAACCAUGCACCGAAGCUGCGGCAGCGACGCUUAUGCGUUGUUGGGUAGGGGAGCGUUCUGUAAGCCUGCGAAGGUGUGCUGUGAGGCAUGCUGGAGGUAUCAGAAGUGCGAAUGCUGACAUAAGUAACGAUAAAGCGGGUGAAAAGCCCGCUCGCCGGAAGACCAAGGGUUCCUGUCCAACGUUAAUCGGGGCAGGGUGAGUCGACCCCUAAGGCGAGGCCGAAAGGCGUAGUCGAUGGGAAACAGGUUAAUAUUCCUGUACUUGGUGUUACUGCGAAGGGGGGACGGAGAAGGCUAUGUUGGCCGGGCGACGGUUGUCCCGGUUUAAGCGUGUAGGCUGGUUUUCCAGGCAAAUCCGGAAAAUCAAGGCUGAGGCGUGAUGACGAGGCACUACGGUGCUGAAGCAACAAAUGCCCUGCUUCCAGGAAAAGCCUCUAAGCAUCAGGUAACAUCAAAUCGUACCCCAAACCGACACAGGUGGUCAGGUAGAGAAUACCAAGGCGCUUGAGAGAACUCGGGUGAAGGAACUAGGCAAAAUGGUGCCGUAACUUCGGGAGAAGGCACGCUGAUAUGUAGGUGAAGUCCCUCGCGGAUGGAGCUGAAAUCAGUCGAAGAUACCAGCUGGCUGCAACUGUUUAUUAAAAACACAGCACUGUGCAAACACGAAAGUGGACGUAUACGGUGUGACGCCUGCCCGGUGCCGGAAGGUUAAUUGAUGGGGUUAGCGCAAGCGAAGCUCUUGAUCGAAGCCCCGGUAAACGGCGGCCGUAACUAUAACGGUCCUAAGGUAGCGAAAUUCCUUGUCGGGU